rnacentral:rRNA from 1 species
CCUACGGGAGGCAGCAGUGGGGAAUAUUGGGCAAUGGGCGCAAGCCUGACCCAGCAACGCCGCGUGAAGGAAGAAGGCUCUCGGGUUGUAAACUUCUUUUAUCAGGGACGAAGCAAGUGACGGUACCUGAUGAAUAAGCCACGGCUAACUACGUGCCAGCAGCCGCGGUAAUACGUAGGUGGCAAGCGUUAUCCGGAUUUACUGGGUGUAAAGGGCGUGUAGGCGGGAAAGCAAGUCAGAUGUGAAAACCAUGGGCUCAACCUGUGGCCUGCAGUUGAAACUGUUUUUCUUGAGUACUGGAGAGGCAGACGGAAUGCCUAGUGUAGCGGUGAAAUGCGUAGAUAUUAGGAAGAACCCCGGUGGCGAAGGCGGUCUGCUGGACAGCAACUGACGCUGAGGCGCGAAAGCGUGGGGAGCAAACAGGAUUAGAUACCCCAGUAGUC